rnacentral:rRNA from 1 species
AUGGUCCCUCCUGAUGCCCGGAGACAGCCCGUGAAGUACCUCGGGCGCCGUCGGUGUGGAGAUCGCCUGCAUGAGCAAGGCUCUGAUCGGAUCGUACGUGUGGCAGCUGGGCAGUUUAGCGAUGUAGAGCCCGAGCCUGCCGCGCCGCAUGAGUGUGCCGCUUCCUGGUUUAUCGGUGACGGCUUGAUCAGAUCGGACGAAGAAGUCCAUGCAGAUGCAGCCGCCGGGAGAUCCGCGUAUGCGAUCCGGAUGGAUGCCUACGCCGGACGUAUUGCAUCUAAGGAUCGCCGGAUUCUUUUGGUGGCUAAUGAAAAAACUAAUCUAAUGAGAAUUUCUAAACCUGAAAUUGAUCUACUGCAGAAGAACUUGAAAAUUGGAUCUAAAUUAUGA